rnacentral:rRNA from 1 species
UACAGAGGCCCCAAGCGUUAAUGAGAAUCACUGGGCUUAAAGGGUGCGUAGGUGGUCCGUUAAGUCUGUUGUGAAAGCCCUUGGCUCAACCAAGGAAUUGCUUCGGAUACUGGCGGACUUGAGGCUAGUAGAGGUCACUGGAACUGACGGUGGAGCGGUGAAAUGCGUAGAUAUCGUCAGGAACGCCGGUGGUGAAGACGGGUGACUGGGCUAGUUCUGACACUGAGGCACGAAAGCGUGGGGAGCGAACGGG